UACAUAGGGACCAAGCGUUGUUCGGAUUUACUGGGCGUAAAGGGCGCGUAGGCGGCGCGACAAGUCACUUGUGAAAUCUCUGGGCUUAACUCAGAACGGCCAAGUGAAACUGUUGUGCUAGAGUGCAGAAGGGGCAAUCGGAAUUCUCGGUGUAGCGGUGAAAUGCGUAGAUAUCGAGAGGAACACCAGAGGUGAAGACGGGUUGCUGGGCUGACACUGACGCUGAGGCGCGAAAGCCAGGGGAGCAAACGGG
rnacentral:rRNA from 1 species